GUCAACGCGCUCGUAUCUUUAGCUGUGGGCGUCAACGACGUUUUUUUCGGUAGGGUAAUGAAAAUGUUCUUGCCUGGUCAAGGAAAUAUAUUGCAAUGCUGACACGAAAGUAAUAUCAUGUUACAUGUUUAUGAAUACAUAUUAAUACUCAGUAUACACAGUUUAACAUUAAGCGUAAAAAAGAAAUCAAUGGGCUUAUAGAAACUAG